rnacentral:rRNA from 1 species
AUUGAACGCUGGCGGCAGGCCUAACACAUGCAAGUCGAGCGAGCGGCGGACGGGUGAGUAAUGUAUGGGGACUGCCCGAUAGAGGGGGAUAACUACUGGAAACGGUAGCUAAUACCGCAUACUAUCGGAUAACCAAUAUGGGAUUAGCUAGUUGGUGAGGUAAUGGCUCACCAAGGAGACGAUCCCUAGCUGGUCUGAGAGGAUGAUCAGCACCACUGUGACUGAGAACCGGCCCAGCCCCUUACGGAGGCAUCAGUGGGGAGUAUUGCACAAGGUGGGAAAGCCUGAUUCAGCCAUUCCGCGUGGAUGAAGAAGGCCUUAGGGUUGUAAAGUACUUUCAGCGGGGAGGCGUUACCCGCAGAAGAAGCACCGGCUAACUCCGUGCCAGCAGCCGCGGUAAUAC